GACGAACGCUGGCGGCGGGCUUAACACAUGCAAGUCGAACGGAAAGGCCCUGCUUUUGUGGGGUGCUCGAGUGGUGAACGGGUGAGUAACACGCGAGUAACCUGCCCUUGACUUUGGGAUAACUUCAGGUAACUGGUGCUAAUACCGGAUAGGAGCUCCUGCUGCAUGGUGGGGGUUGGAAAGUUUCGGCGGGUGGGGAUGGACUCGCGGCUUAUCAGCUUGUUGGUGGGGUAGUGGCUUACCAAGGCUUUGACGGGUAGCCGGCCUGAGAGGGUGACCGGCCACAUUGGGACUGAGAUACGGCCCAGACUCCUACGGGAGGCAGCAGUGGGGAAUAUUGCACUAGGGGCGGAAGCCUGAUGCAGCAACGCCGCGUGCGGGAUGACGGCCAGCGGGUUGUAAACCGCUUUCGCCUGUGACGAAGCGUGAGUGACGGUAAUGGGUAAAGAAGCACCGGCUAACUACGUG
rnacentral:rRNA from 1 species